UAAAGAUUCAUCGCUGAUAGAUAGGCAUGCGUUCCAUUAGGCAGUUGGCGGGGUAACGGCCCACCAAACCGACGAUGGAUAGGGGUUCUGAGAGGAAGGUCCCCCACAUUGGUACUGAGACACGGACCAAACUCCUACGGGAGGCAGCAGUGAGGAAUAUUGGUCAAUGGGCGUAAGCCUGAACCAGCCAAGUCGCGUGAGGGAUGAAGGUUCUAUGGAUCGUAAACCUCUUUUAUAAGGGAAUAAAGUGCGGGACGUGUCCCGUUUUGUAUGUACCUUAUGAAUAAGGAUCGGCUAACUCCGUGCCAGCAGCCGCGGUAAUACGGAGGAUCCGAGCGUUAUCCGGAUUUAUUGGGUUUAAAGGGUGCGUAGGCGGCCUUUUAAGUCAGCGGUGAAAGUCUGUGGCUCAACCAUAGAAUUGCCGUUGAAACUGGGAGGCUUGAGUAUGUUUGAGGCAGGCGGAAUGCGUGGUGUAGCGGUGAAAUGCUUAGAUAUCACGCAGAACCCCGAUUGCGAAGGCAGCCUGCCAAGCCAUGACUGACGCUGAUGCACGAAAGCGUGGGGAUCAAACAGGAUUAGAUACCCUGGUAGUCCACGCAGUAAACGAUGAUCACUAGCUGUUUGCGAUACACAGUAA
rnacentral:rRNA from 1 species